UGCAUGCUGGUAGCCGUACCUGUACCCGUACCCGCCCAUGGCCGCCAGCACGCCAAUGUGCGACGAUGACCGCCGUAUCAUCUUCCUGGGUGUGCCGCCGCCCUGGCCGCUGCGGCGCCUACUGCUGGGCUGCCACUCCAGUGCCGCCGCAUAGGUGUACUGCCUUGGCACACUCUGGUCGGAUCGGGAGGAGGCGACGCUGGUCAGAUCUAGACGAGGGGAUAGAGUCGGCCAGAUCUAGAGGAGUGAGAUGGUGCAGGCCACAUCUAGGUGGAGGGGCUGCAGCGGAGGAGACGAGAGACACCCGGAACUUGGAGAGGCGAGGAGCCUGGCCCUAGGGUGGGUGCCGACCUGAGUUGUCUAUUCACCAAAUUUUAUAAUUUUUUCAGGUCCGAGAUCCUAUAUCAGUGGGGUUUUUUGGUUUUGUUUAUUUUUCAUGUCCAGAGGACGUGCGCAGGCAAUAAUUCCAUAAUCAAUGGUCUUGUUAAUUUUUCGGUCACGUAGUCAGUGAUGCGGC
rnacentral:lncRNA from 1 species